GAUGAACGCUGGCGGCGUGCCUAAUACAUGCAAGUCGAGCGGUAAGGCCUCUUCGGAGGUACACGAGCGGCGGACGGCUUAGUAACACGUAGGAACGUACCCCAAACUGAGGGAUAACUGCUCGAAAGAGUAGCUAAUACCGCAUGUGGUCUUCGGAUUAAAGCUUCGGCGGUUUGGGAACGGCCUGCGUCUGAUUAGCUUGUUGGUGAGGUAAUGGCUCACCAAGGCGACGAUCAGUAGCUGGUCUGAGAGGAUGAUCAGCAAGACUGGGACUGAGACACGGCCCAGACUCCUACGGGAGGCAGCAGUAGGGAAUUUUCCACAAUGGGCGAAAGCCUGAUGGAGCAACGCCGCGUGCAGGAUGAAUGCCUUCGGGUUGUAAACUGCUUUUAUAUGUGACGAAUAUGACGGUAGCAUAUGAAUAAGGAUCGGCUAACUCCGUGCCAGCAGCCGCCGUAAUAC
rnacentral:rRNA from 1 species